GACGAACGCUGGCGGCGUGCCUAAUACAUGCAAGUAGAACGCACAGUUUAUACCGUAGCUUGCUACACCAUAGACUGUGAGUUGCGAACGGGUGAGUAACGCGUAGGUAACCUGCCUGGUAGCGGGGGAUAACUAUUGGAAACGAUAGCUAAUACCGCAUAAUAUUAAUUAUUGCAUGAUAAUUAAUUGAAAGGUGCAAUUGCACCACUACCAGAUGGACCUGCGUUGUAUUAGCUAGUAGGUGAGGUAACGGCUCACCUAGGCGACGAUACAUAGCCGACCUGAGAGGGUGCUCGGCCACACUGGGACUGAGACACGGCCCAGACUCCUACGGGAGGCAGCAGUAGGGAAUCUUCGGCAAUAGACGAAAGUCUGACCGAGCAACGCCGCGUGAGUGAAGAAGGUUUUCGGAUCGUAAAGCUCUGUUGUAAGAGAAGAACGGGUGUGAGAGUGGAAAGUUCACACUGUGACGGUAUCUUACCAGAAAGGGACGGCUAACUACGUG
rnacentral:rRNA from 1 species